rnacentral:rRNA from 1 species
UACGGAGGAUGCAAGCGUUAUCCGGAAUUAUUGGGCGUAAAGCGUCCGUAGGUGGUUCACCAAGUCUGCUGUCAAAGGGUGGGGCUUAACCUCAUAAAGGCAGUGGAAACUGGUGAGCUAGAGUGCGGUAGGGGUAAGGGGAAUUCCCAGUGUAGCGGUGAAAUGCGUAGAGAUUGGGAAGAACAUCGGUGGCGAAAGCGCCUUACUGGGCCUGCACUGACACUGAGGGACGAAAGCUAGGGGAGCGAAAGGG